AUGUUAAAAUUUCUUUUAGCGUGUGUAAUAUUGAUACCGUUGGUAAAUUCGUGGUGAGCUGUUCAGAGUUCACUUUUUAUUAUCAGAUUUAUUAUAGGGGUGUAUUGUUGUCAUGAUUUCAGUAGUUAUAUGAUGGGAUGAUGUUUUAAUAUGGAUUCUUUAGGCUAUAUCCUGAUUCUACUGAGAUUUUGAAUUACCGCGCUUGUGGUAUGUUCUAGACAAAAGGUAUUAAAGGAAAAUAAUUAUCCUUCUUUGUUUCUAUUGGUAAAUAUUUGUUUGUUAUUUUUUUUAAUUAUGACUUUUUCAGCGAAUGAUUAUCUGUUGUUUUACAUUAGAUUUGAAAGUUCUUUAAUUCCAACUCUAAUUUUAAUUCUGGGGUGAGGGUAUCAGCCUGAGCGAUUGCAGGCGGGUGUCUAUAUAUUAUUUUAUACUUUAUUUGCUUCGUUACCAUUGUUAGUGUCUUUAAUUAGUUUAUAUAAUAUAAGAGGUAGAUUAACAUUAGGAUUAGUAGAAGGAGUAAGAGGAAAUGGGUUUAUCUCUUGCAUUUGGUACGCAGUAACCGUAUUUGCUUUUAUUGUAAAAUUACCUAUAUUUUUAGUGCAUCUAUGGUUGCCAAAAGCCCACGUAGAAGCGCCUGUAGCAGGUUCUAUAAUUUUGGCCGGGGUUUUAUUAAAGUUAGGAGGUUACGGUUUAAUCCGAGUUUUACCUCUAUUUAGAGAAGCUAAUAAAGAAUUAUCUUGAUUAUGAGUAAGAAUUAGUUUAGUGGGGGGAGUAGUAGUAAGAUUAAUAUGUUUACGCCAGGUGGAUAUAAAGGCUUUAAUUGCUUAUUCUUCAGUAGCCCAUAUGGGGCUUGUUUUAUCAGGGCUAGUUGUGUUUGGUUGGUGAGGGUUAAAUGGAGCUGUGGUAGUAAUAAUUGGGCAUGGAUUAUGUUCCUCUGGGCUAUUUUGUUUGGCCAAUAUAGUAUAUGAGCGAGUUGGGAGUCGAAGAUUAUUAAUUAGUAAGGGGCUGAUAAAUUUUAUGCCUAGAAUAGCUCUUUGGUGGUUUUUGUUAAGGGCAGGAAAUAUAGCGGCCCCUCCUACUUUAAAUCUGUUAGGUGAAAUUAGUUUAAUUAUUAGAGUGGUAUCUUGAAGAAAAAUCAGAAUGGUAGCAAUUUCUUUAUUAUCUUUCUUUAGAGCUGCUUACACACUAUAUAUGUUUUCACUGAGCCAACAUGGUAAGUACUAUAGGGCUUUAUUUUCUUGCUGUUCGGGGAAAGUGCGAGAGUAUUUAAUUCUUAUACUACAUUGGCUGCCAUUAAAUUUGUUAAUUUUAAAAAGAAGAAGUAUUAUAUAUAUUCUUUAA
rnacentral:misc_RNA from 1 species